AGCAGUGACGUGCCUCGCUCUCCUGUCACCUUAGAGCUUUCCCGCGCCCGCGCUCUAACACAUCAUUUUCACGGGCUAUAGCGCCGCUCAGUGGAUAUAUCUAAUCCAUCUUUGCUGCUUUAUAGUGAAUGGAGACCUUGGAGGACAAACAGAAACGUCCUGUCCUUCGCCCACUUCUUUUCUUGUUUGAAUGUCCACAUUUAUAAAUCUCAGGAAGUUAUAUUAUGUCUAACCACUAUAAUGGACUUUUUAACUGUUAUUACGCGUGGUGUUUACGCCAUAAAUUGACCACGCGGUGUUUAUUGACGUGUUGUACUCACCAACACGACUGGAUGCAAGAAAAGCUGUUGAAAAAUGAGUUGCAGAUAUCAGAGAGGAGUCUCUAACAGAAGAAAUUCUAGUUAAAAAGAGGAAGAUGGAGAAUUAUCGAUCCCUUGUCCCGAAGGUGUCUGCCGUAUGCAGAUGUCCCCAAGGUGCACCAGAGAAGGGUCCUGAGAGCAUCGGGGUGGUGGCCGAGUCCUGCACUCGCAUAGCUGGAGCAGAGCUCCAUCUUCAGGAGCCAGACUGGAGCGGAUACAAGAGCCCUCCAGCACAUGAACACAUGUGAACAUCCUUUAUGAGAUUACAGUGGAACCUCAGAUGCUGCCCAGCACACAGAGAUCAUAUCAUAUAUAUAUGGCAGACGUCCACCUUUGUCAUCUCACGGAGGCAAGUUUGUUCUCCUCUGUCAUUAUCAUCAGUGUGUUCUUGCCCUCCAUAUGUGCAUGUAUCCAAAUGACUGUUAAUCUUAUAAUCACUCUUAAAAGGAUAGUUCACCCAACAAAUGAAACUUGUCUCAUCAUUUACUCACCCUUAGAUGGUUGAAGUCAUUCAUGUUAAAAAGAUAUUUUGAGAAAUAGCUUGUUGUUGUUGUUGUUGUUGUUGUUGUUUUUUGUCCAUACAAUAACCAAAACUGUUUGGUAUGGAAGCUUGUAUCCGCCACUGAAUAAAAAAAAAAGAAGUAAUUACAACUUUUUAUCUCGCAAUUCUGACUUUUUUUCUCAGAAUUGAUAUCUUCUUAGAGUUUAUGUCUUAUGUAUCAUUGUGAGUUAUAAAGUCAGAA